AUUGAACGCUGGCGGAAUGCUUUACACAUGCAAGUCGAACGGCAGCACGGACUUCGGUCUGGUGGCGAGUGGCGAACGGGUGAGUAAUGUAUCGGAACGUGCCCAGUCGUGGGGGAUAACGUAGCGAAAAUUACGCUAAUACCGCAUACGAUCUAUGGAUGAAAGCGGGGGAUCGCAAGACCUCGCGCGAUUGGAGCGGCCGAUAUCAGAUUAGGUAGUUGGUGGGGUAAAGGCCCACCAAGCCAACGAUCUGUAGCUGGUCUGAGAGGACGACCAGCCACACUGGAACUGAGACACGGUCCAGACUCCUACGGGAGGCAGCAGUGGGGAAUUUUGGACAAUGGGCGAAAGCCUGAUCCAGCCAUUCCGCGUGCAGGAUGAAGGCCCUCGGGUUGUAAGCUGCUUUUGUACAGAACGAAAAGGUUUCUACUAAUACUAGGAGCUCAUGACGGUACUGUAAGAAUAAGCACCGGCUAACUACGUGCCAGCCGCCGCUGUAA
rnacentral:rRNA from 1 species